GACCGCACCGGUGGCCUAGUGGUUAGAGUGUCCGACUCGGAUGCGGGAGGUUGUGGCUUCGAUCUCCGGUUGAGUCA